rnacentral:lncRNA from 1 species
AGGGAGUACAGAAUGGAUGUGGGAGAACAGAGUCACCUCUGGGCCUGCGAUAGAACCCUAUUUAGACAUCGCCAACCUUGGAUCUCCUGAUCU